rnacentral:rRNA from 1 species
CCUACGGGAGACAGCAGUAGGGAAUCUUUCACAAUGGGCGAAAGCCUGAUGGAGCAACGCCGCGUGCAGGAUGAAGGCCUUCGGGUUGUAAACUGCUUUUAUAAGCGAGAAAUAUGAUGGUAACUUAUGAAUAAGGAUCGGCUAACUACGUGCCAGCAGCCGCGGUCAUACGUAGGAUCCGAGCAUUAUCCGGAGUGACUGGGUGUAAAGAGUUGCGUAGGUGGCAUAAUAAGUAGCUAGUGAAAUCUGGUGGCUCAACCAUUCAGACUAUUAGCUAAACUGUUAAGCUCGAGACCGUUAGGGGUAACUGGAAUGUCUAGUGUAGGAGUGAAAUCCGUAGAUAUUAGAAGGAACACCAAUAGCGUAGGCAGGUUGCUGGGACGGUUCUGACACUAAGGCACGAAAGCGUAGGGAGCAAACGGGAUUAGAUACCCCAGUAGUC